GCGGGAGUACGUCAAUUGGCAGACGGCGACCUUCCCAAGGUCGAGGUUGCGGGUUCGAGUCCCGUCUCCCGCU
rnacentral:tRNA from 1 species